rnacentral:tRNA from 1 species
GCCUGGGUGGCUCAGUAGGUUGAGCGUCUGACUUCAGCACAGGUCACGAUCUUGUCAGUGAGUUCGAGUCCCGCAUCUGGCU